rnacentral:rRNA from 1 species
CUACGGGUUACUGCAGUGGGGAAUAUUGCACAAUGGGGGAAACCCUGAUGCAGCAACGCCGCGUGGAGGAUGACGCAUUUCGGUGUGUAAACUCCUUUUAUAUAGGAAGAUAAUGACGGUACUAUAUGAAUAAGCACCGGCUAACUCCGUGCCAGCAGCCGCGGUAAUACGGAGGGUGCAAGCGUUACUCGGAAUCACUGGGCGUAAAGCGCGCGCAGGCGGCCGUUUAAGUUGGAUGUGAAAGCCUAUGGCUUAACCAUAGAACUGCAUCCAAAACUAUCAGGCUAGAGUCUGGGAGGGGAAGAUGGAAUUAGUUGUGUAGGGGUAAAAUCCGUAGAGAUAACUAGGAAUACCAAAAGCGAAGGCGAUCUUCUGGAACAGUACUGACGCUGAGGCGCGAAAGCGUGGGGAGCAAACAGGAUUAGAUACCCUCGUAGUC